rnacentral:rRNA from 1 species
GGAGGAGGAGGGCGUGGGCGCGGGAGGGAGGAGGAGAGCGUGGGCGCGGAGGGAGAGGAGAAGGUGAGAGGGGAUCGCGGCGGCGGGAUGAAGGGGCAGCGGCGGGCUGGAGGAAGAGGAGAAGGAGAGCGGGGAUCGCGGCGGCGGGGACGGAGGAAGGGGCGGCGACGGGCCGGAACCCCUUUCUAAAGCUGACGUAGGCCUCUCCCUUUCUAAAGCUCCCCCUCCUCUUCCCCUCUCGUCUCUUCGAACCUCCCGCCGCCCGCCGCCGCUACCUGCCGCUCACCACCUCCUUCUUCACCCACCGCACCCGCCGCCGCCGCCGGUAGAAGCACCACGAGUACGAGCAGUGCGGGCGGUAGGGCGUCCUGUUCCUGAUGGUGCUGAAGCGGCUGGUCGCGCAGGAGAAGGAGCCAACCACUAACUAUACUAUCUUACUUCAACGGUUCCCCCUAAACCCCCGUUUACUUCACACCUAAGUCGAUUUUAAUCCGAGAUAGGUAUACAACUAGACCAAUAGUCAUGUCUGAUGUCUCCCUUACGAAGACUAAAGGUUGUGAUAGACAACGAAACCAAUAUGAUCGACACGUAUUUUUUAUAAUAUGUUCUUACACGGUGGCCGCUACCCACGUUUGCCGACAUUUACACCUGCUGGUGUAGAAGUAGGGUUCUCCGCCGCCGACCGCGACCGCAGGUGCUGGAGUGGUUUCGUUCCUUCCUUCCUCCUCGUCCGAGGUCGCAGUCCACGGAUUCUAGCCGUGUGGAGGAGGGCUAGCUGGGUCUGGUCGCGGUACCGUUGUUCGAACGGGGGGAUGGGGCUGGAACUUCAACUCGCCGGCUAUGGUGGUACUGAACCGCCGUGUCGACCACCUUGGCCGCAGGUAUUCGCUCGUAGCAGGUCUACCGGCGGCGCGAAGGCGAGUCAUCGCCUUCGUCUACGUCAUUUGAGACUUUUGAUCUAAUACAAACGAGUAUACUGUGCUUGUGUUACCCUAAAAAAGACUCCCUCAACUAGUACGAACGGAAAGGGACUCGAGGUCGAUAAGUGCGAUGACGGAAUUAAAGUUUUCCCAAAGAGCCGUUCCGCUGCCACACGCUUGGUACACGCGGACGGAUCGACAUAACGCCGAGCGCCUACGCCGUCUACACCGUGUACUCGUCUACUUUCUCCUUAUUAACUUCGGGGUUACGGAGGUGUGUAAGAACGAGGGAUUGUUACCCUCAUUAUCCAACGUUUGAGGAAAGGGAAGGGAAUAUAAAUGUUAUACUACUACUGAUAUACUACUAUCACACCAAUAUUUCCACUUUACGGUGGUGUUACAAAGUCUCCGAGUGUAGACAGUCAUGAGUAAUCUAUCUUGAACACAACGUCAAAAACAAUACACGAAGAGAUUUAAGAGACAACAGGUAGCAGAUAGAGAGGACGUAUCGAUCGGGCCACGGUACAGUCUUCAAUUUGGUUUUGAAAAUUCUACGAACACAUCGUUUUACGCAAACCUCUUCGAGUAAAUAGAAAGUCAAUGAGACAUAUUUCACAUUAUAAGAUAAACCAAAACUAAUGGCCGCUACAGAUUAAGAGGUCCGAAGAAUUUUUACUACCGAUACGGGUUGGACGAGUAUGAUUAGUUAUUAUUGUAGAGUCAACAUAGGUCAUAAAGGGUAAGUAACCAAUAUUGUUAACUGAACACACAUCCUAAGCAGAGUCAUAUAUAAGACCCUAUUUGUUACCAAACCGCUACGAUAAUCAAGUACUUUUCAAGUUCCUCCUAAAAACUAUAAUAAAAUAACAAUUGCUCAGUACGGUCAUUCGAAAUACAUAAACAAGCGGCACCCCUCGUUACCCCGUAACGUGUGAAUGGAUACAUGAGAGAGGCAUUUCUUUAUAUUCUCGCACAUCUAGUGAUUUCAUCACUAGAUUUACGAGAAUAUAAAGAAAUGUCUCCCACAUAUAACGAUGGACCAAUACAACCAGAAAGCAUAUGUCCGGAACGAUAGUAAUACAUACCAGGAAGAACGGAAUACACAUAAUACUUACCAUAAAGUUGGACACCUUACAUGAGGAUUAGGACCAGAUAUCUUGACGGAAAGACUUGAACUACAGAGUCAACAUGAGCUUGUUCUCGUGUGCCUCCCUCGAGAAGAUGCGGUGGGGCCGUUGUCCUUGUUCCUUUUAGGUCAGGUGCCACGGUGGUUACUUGUUCCGUGUCUCGUACUCCACAAACGUGGUUAACGAAAGAAGUGUGGUGCCGGUACCGAAACUAGCAGCUACCUGCAGUGGUUAGUGGAUAAGAUUGAGACUAGCAACCCUGGCCGUAGGAGCGCGGUUCCGCGCGACGGCUAGAUCAGCACAUACCGACACCCUGCGCACCCCGCCGUCGUCGGGACUGCCGACCCUCAGUCACGGCGUCCUCUCGUCGUUUUCUGACUAGGCCCUGGAUGUUUAGGCUCCUGUUACACCUCUGCGACCGCGGAACAAAAAGGGAACUGCAAUACACGUUUUGGUCGAGUUGGAAAUUAGUUAGUUUGGAACUUUUUACACGACGUUUAAUCAUGUUCAUAUGAUCACCAUGAUCAUGUAAUCAUAAACAGAAUCCCGGACAAACCAAGGUUUAUUCAGUGGUUGAAUAUUCAGCUUUUCACCUUUUUCACUAAAUAAAACAGUUUGUCUGGACUGAAUAUUCAGUGGGGUUGAAUAUUCAGUAUUCAACGAGGUGGG